CUGGGAGGACCAUCUCCUAAGGCUAAAUACUCUCUAGUGACCGAUAGUGAACCAGUACCGUGAGGGAAAGGUGAAAAGCACCCCGGAAGGGGAGUGAAAUAGAACCUGAAACCGUGUGCUUACAAGUAGUCAGAGCCCGUUAAUGGGUGAUGGCGUGCCUUUUGUAGAAUGAACCGGCGAGUUACGAUUUGAUGCAAGGUUAAGCAGUAAAUGUGGAGCCGUAGCGAAAGCGAGUCUGAAUAGGGCGUUUAGUAUUUGGUCGUAGACCCGAAACCAGGUGAUCUACCCUUGGUCAGGUUGAAGUUCAGGUAACACUGAAUGGAGGACCGAACCGACUUACGUUGAAAAGUGAGCGGAUGAACUGAGGGUAGCGGAGAAAUUCCAAUCGAACCUGGAGAUAGCUGGUUCUCUCCGAAAUAGCUUUAGGGCUAGCCUCAAGUGAUGAUUAUUGGAGGUAGAGCACUGUUUGGACGAGGGGCCCCUCUCGGGUUACCGAAUUCAGACAAACUCCGAAUGCCAAUUAAUUUAACUUGGGAGUCAGAACAUGGGUGAUAAGGUCCGUGUUCGAAAGGGAAACAGCCCAGACCACCAGCUAAGGUCCCAAAAUAUAUGUUAAGUGGAAAAGGAUGUGGCGUUGCCCAGACAACUAGGAUGUUGGCUUAGAAGCAGCCAUCAUUUAAAGAGUGCGUAAUAGCUCACUAGUCGAGUGACACUGCGCCGAAAAUGUACCGGGGCUAAACAUAUUACCGAAGCUGUGGAUUGUCCUUUGGACAAUGGUAGGAGAGCGUUCUAAGGGCGUUGAAGCAUGAUCGUAAGGACAUGUGGAGCGCUUAGAAGUGAGAAUGCCGGUGUGAGUAGCGAAAGACGGGUGAGAAUCCCGUCCACCGAUUGACUAAGGUUUCCAGAGGAAGGCUCGUCCGCUCUGGGUUAGUCGGGUCCUAAGCUGAGGCCGACAGGCGUAGGCGAUGGAUAACAGGUUGAUAUUCCUGUACCAC
rnacentral:rRNA from 1 species